AGUAACGCGUGAGGAACCUGCCUCAAAGAGGGGGACAACAGUUGGAAACGACUGCUAAUACCGCAUAAGCCCACGGCUUGGCAUCGAGCAGAGGGAAAAGGAGUGAUCCGCUUUGAGAUGGCCUCGCGUCCGAUUAGCUAGUUGGUGAGAUAACGGCCCACCAAGGCAACGAUCGGUAGCCGGACUGAGAGGUUGAACGGCCACAUUGGGACUGAGACACGGCCCAG
rnacentral:rRNA from 1 species